rnacentral:rRNA from 1 species
GACGAACGCUGGCGGCGUGCUUAACACAUGCAAGUCGAACGGAAAGGCCCUGCUUUUGUGGGGUGCUCGAGUGGCGAACGGGUGAGUAACACGUGAGUAACCUGCCCUUGACUUUGGGAUAACUUCAGGAAACUGGGGCUAAUACCGGAUAGGAGCUCCUGCUGCAUGGUGGGGGUUGGAAAGUUUCGGCGGUUGGGGAUGGACUCGCGGCUUAUCAGCUUGUUGGUGGGGUAGUGGCUUACCAAGGCUUUGACGGGUAGCCGGCCUGAGAGGGUGACCGGCCACAUUGGGACUGAGAUACGGCCCAGACUCCUACGGGAGGCAGCAGUGGGGAAUAUUGCACAAUGGGCGGAAGCCUGAUGCAGCAACGCCGCGUGCGGGAUGACGGCCUUCGGGUUGUAAACCGCUUUCGCCUGUGACGAAGCGUGAGUGACGGUAAUGGGUAAAGAAGCACCGGCUAACUACGUGCCAGCAGCCGCGGUGAUACGUAGGGUGCGAGCGUUGUCCGGAUUUAUUGGGCGUAAAGGGCUCGUAGGUGGUUGAUCGCGUCGGAAGUGUAAUCUUGGGGCUUAACCCUGAGCGUGCUUUCGAUACGGGUUGACUUGAGGAAGGUAGGGGGAGAAUGGAAUUCCUGGUGGAGCGGUGGAAUGCGCAGAUAUCAGGAGGAACACCAGUGGCGAAGGCGGUUCUCUGGGCCUUUCCUGACGCUGAGGAGCGAAAGCGUGGGGAGCGAACAGGCUUAGAUACCCUGGUAGUCCACGCUGUAAACGGUGGGUACUAGGUGUGGGGUCCAUUCCACGGGUUCCGUGCCGUAGCUAACGCUUUAAGUACCCCGCCUGGGGAGUACGGCCGCAAGGCUAAAACUCAAAGGAAUUGACGGGGCCCCGCACAAGCGGCGGAGCAUGCGGAUUAAUUCGAUGCAACGCGUAGAACCUUACCUGGGUUUGACAUGGAUCGGGAGCGCUCAGAGAUGGGUGUGCCUCUUUUGGGGUCGGUUCACAGGUGGUGCAUGGCUGUCGUCAGCUAGUGUCGUGAGAUGUUGGGUUAAGUCCCGCAACGAGCGCAACCCUUGUUCACUGUUGCCAGUACGUUAUGGUGGGGACUCAGUGGAGACCGCCGGGGUCAACUCGGAGGAAGGUGGGGAUGACGUCAAGUCAUCAUGCCCCUUAUGUCCAGGGCUUCACGCAUGCUACAAUGGCUGGUACAGAGAGUGGCGAGCCUGUGAGGGUGAGCGAAUCUCGGAAAGCCGGUCUCAGUUCGGAUUGGGGUCUGCAACUCGACCUCAUGAAGUCGGAGUCGCUAGUAAUCGCAGAUCAGCAACGCUGCGGUGAAUACGUUCCCGGGGCU